GUGGGGAAUUUUGGACAAUGGGCGCAAGCCUGAUCCAGCAAUGCCGCGUGCAGGAAGAAGGCCUUCGGGUUGUAAACUGCUUUUGUACGGAACGAAACGGUCCGGGUUAAUACCCUGGGCUAAUGACGGUACCGUAAGAAUAAGCACCGGCUAACUACGUGCCAGCAGCCGCGGUAAUACGUAGGGUGCAAGCGUUAAUCGGAAUUACUGGGCGUAAAGCGUGCGCAGGCGGUUUUGUAAGACAGGCGUGAAAUCCCCGGGCUCAACCUGGGAAUUGCGCUUGGGACUGCAAGGCUGGAGUGCGGCAGAGGGGGAUGGAAUUCCGCGUGUAGCAGUGAAAUGCGUAGAUAUGCGGAGGAACACCGAUGGCGAAGGCAAUCCCCUGGGCCUGCACUGACGCUCAUGCACGAAAGCGUGGGGAGCAAACAGGAUUAGAUACCCCAGUAGUCC
rnacentral:rRNA from 1 species